rnacentral:rRNA from 1 species
CCUACGUGCGGCAGCAGUGAGGAAUAUUGGUCAAUGGCCGGAAGGCUGAACCAUCCAAGCCGCGUGAAGGACGACGGUGCCAAGCAUUGUACACUUCUUUUGUCAAGGGACAAAAUCAGGCUCGAGAGCCUGACCGAGGGUACUUGAAGAAAAAGCAUCGGCUAACUCCGUGGCAGCAGCCGCGGUAAUACGGAGGAUGCGAGCGUUCUCCGGGUUUAUUGGGUUUAAAGGGUGCGUAGGGGGGCUGUUAGUUCAGCGGUAAAAGCCCGGGGGUCAACCCCGGCGCGCCGUGGAAACUGGCUGUCUUGAGAUGUCGAGAGGUAUGCGGAAUGUGCAGUGUAGCGGUGAAAUGCUUAGAUAUUGCGCAGAACUCCGAGUGCGAAGGCAGCAUACCGGCGGCGAUCUGACGCUGAGGCACGAAAGCGUGGGUAUCGAACAGGAUUAGAUACCCCUGUAGUC